AACGCGAAGAACCUUACCUGGGCUUGACAUGUUCGGUCUACCUGCAGAGAUGUGGGGUGCUUUUGCGCCGUUCACAGGUGGUGCAUGGUUGUCGUCAGCUCGUGUCGUGAGAUGUUGGGUUAAGUCCCGCAACGAGCGCAACCCUCGUUCCAUGUUGCCAGCGCGUUAUGGCGGGGACUCAUGGGAGACUGCCGGGGUCAACUCGGAGGAAGGUGGGGACGACGUCAAAUCAUCAUGCCCCUUAUGUCCAGGGCUGCACACAUGCUACAAUGGCCGGUACAGAGGGCUGCGAUACCGCAAGGUGGAGCGAAUCCCAAAAAGCCGGUCUCAGUUCGGAUCGGGGUCUGCAACUCGACCCCGUGAAGUCGGAGUCGCUAGUAAUCGCAGAUCAGCAACGCUGCGGUGAAUACGUUCCCGGGCCUUGUACACACCGUAGUAC
rnacentral:rRNA from 1 species